UAUAAGCAAUCUAUACUGUGAAACUGCGAAUGGCUCAUUAAAUCAGUUAUCGUUUAUUUGAUAGUACCUUACUACUUGGAUAACCGUGGUAAUUCUAGAGCUAAUACAUGCUAAAAACCUCGACUUCGGAAGGGGUGUAUUUAUUAGAUAAAAAACCAAUGCCCUUCGGGGCUCCUUGGUGAUUCAUGAUAACUUAACGAAUCGCAUGGCCUUGCGCCGGCGAUGGUUCAUUCAAAUUUCUGCCCUAUCAACUUUCGAUGGUAGGAUAGUGGCCUACCAUGGUAUCAACGGGUAACGGGGAAUUAGGGUUCUAUUCCGGAGAGGGAGCCUGAGAAACGGCUACCACAUCCAAGGAAGGCAGCAGGCGCGCAAAUUACCCAAUCCCGACACGGGGAGGUAGUGACAAUAAAUACUGAUACAGGGCUCUUUUGGGUCUUGUAAUUGGAAUGAGUACAAUUUAAAUACCUUAACGAGGAACAAUUGGAGGGCAAGUCUGGUGCCAGCAGCCGCGGUAAUUCCAGCUCCAAUAGCGUAUAUUAAAGUUGUUGCAGUUAAAAAGCUCGUAGUUGAACCUUGGGCCUGGCUGGCCGGUCCGCCUCACCGCGUGUACUGGUCCGGCCGGGCCUUUCCUUCUGGGGAUCCUCAUGCCCUUCACUGGGUGUGCUGGGGAACCAGGACUUUUACUUUGAAAAAAUUAGAGUGUUCAAAGCAGGCCUUUGCUCGAAUACAUUAGCAUGGAAUAAUAGAAUAGGACGUGCGGUCCUAUUUUGUUGGUUUCUAGGACCGCCGUAAUGAUUAAUAGGGAUAGUCGGGGGCAUCAGUAUUCAAUUGUCAGAGGUGAAAUUCUUGGAUUUAUUGAAGACUAACUACUGCGAAAGCAUUUGCCAAGGAUGUUUUCAUUAAUCAGUGAACGAAAGUUAGGGGAUCGAAGACGAUCAGAUACCGUCGUAGUCUUAACCGUAAACUAUGCCGACUAGGGAUCGGGCGAUGUUAUUCUUUUGACUCGCUCGGCACCUUACGAGAAAUCAAAGUCUUUGGGUUCU
rnacentral:rRNA from 2 species